GGAUAUAGCUCAGUUGGUAAAAGUCCUUGCCUAGCAUGCACAAAGCCCUGGGUUCAAUCCCCAGCACCA
rnacentral:tRNA from 1 species